rnacentral:lncRNA from 1 species
GCCGAACCGCUCCCUGUCGCCGGCGGGGCGCUCUCUCGCCAGGCCCCGCUGUGUUACAUUUGAUUUUUGUGUGUGUGGUUGUGGUUUUCAUUUCCUAGAGCCUGCGAAAAACUCACUCGCCUAGCGAUGUAGACGAACGCUUGGACCGUGCGCCUCGCCCGACCCGGCCAGAAAGCGAACAAGGAAAACAAAAUACCCAUCGAGGAACUGUUCCAGAAUCGGGAAGUUUUGCUAAAUGUGAUGUAGCCAGCAUCCAGGGAAAAACAAACAAACACAAAAAAACACAAAAAAAAACAAAAAAAAAAAACCAAAAACAAAACAAAUUAUGUCUUUAAAAACUAAAGCCGCACAGGAGGAGAUAAAGACUGAAUCUUUGAAAUACUUUGCAUGGAUAUCCCAUCUUGAGAGUGUCAUGGGGCCCUAAUGCCAACUCGCAGAGCCAGCUGAGGGCAGGUCCCGCAGACCUCACUGCAGAUUCUCUCCUACAGUAAAAACAUGUAGACUUGGCUCUGUAGAAGCCCCUUCUUUACUGAAAGCAGAAGACUGCGUUUCAAGGAAAGGCUCAUAGGAGAACAAGGAGAUGAAUUUAUCUUUUCACAGAAUGUCGUGGAAAUACAAAAUAAGAAAGACCAGCCGCAAAGCCUCUGCCAGCUUUCAAGUGCAAAAGAAGAGUUGAAUUUCCAGGAGACAUCCAAUAGAAGUGGCCCAGAAAACAGACAAGUGAAGAAACACAGCAUGGCAGGACCUAGAAUUGAUAGAGAAGUUGGCCAGAAAUUCCUGGGAAAGAAGACAGGGGUCUAAUAUCCCACGUUAAGUUGAACUGCUGGGAUAUGAGCCCCUCCUUCACCCUAACAUCCAGUGAAACCUUGCUACGGAGAUUGAGCUCACUUCUACAUCAGCAGAGUAAGGUUACUGCAACGAUUUGGGAUCUUUGAAGGAAUAUCUACAAUGUUGUCACACAUUCUAGAAAACCUGCUUUUCAAAGGGGAAAACCCAUAUAACUAUUAGAGACUGAGGACUAGAGAAAAAAAUCAACUUUAAUUUGGCAAUGCUUACGUUCUGGUAUCUGAAUGAGUCAGGAAGAAACAUAAAUUCCCACUUAUUUUUUCUCCUUUCCCCUUUAUUCCCUUUCACUAUUUUUUUAUAUUCCCCAAAUGAAUGAGACCAUAUAAUGUUUGUCCUUCUCCGAUUGACUUAUUUCACUCAGCACAAUACCCUCCAGUUCCAUCCACGUCGAAGCAAAUGGUAUUUGUCGUUUCUAAUGGCUGAGGAAUAAUCCAUUGACCACAUCU